rnacentral:lncRNA from 1 species
GCGAAUAUUUUUAAUUGAGUCAAUUGUACCUAUGUAUCUACUUGGAAGGAUGAUCAGUUUUCUUCCUAUUUGGUGACUUUCUACAGCACCGCUGAAGGUUUCGCGUUACUCUUCUAGCGAUAGUUGGAAUAAUAAGCGAAUGAUAAACGGUAAUACAAGGAUAUACAAAAGAAAUUAGAUGAUUUUCAGUAACGUUGCAUUUGAGUUCAGUGCUUAAUGGGCUAAUGAUAGAAGAAUUCCGAAGAAGGAGCAACAAGAGAAGAGUUUCUUUGCACGGAUAUUGGUUGGGAUAUCAAGCGAAUGACUAAGAUAUCUUCGCAUCUUAAAUAUCUUACCUCUUCAGCCGUACAGUUAGUAGAGUCUUUGAGAAAUUCAAUUUGCCAAAAAUACUCAGUUAUAAAAAUCUAGUGGAUUCCAAAAUGCGAAGUAUCAAAGAUGUUUAGAAUUCACUUCUUCCACUACUAGAUACUUUGCACAAACACCUUGAGCAAUCAAAACAAACAUCCGGAGCACAAGACACGGCCACGAUUUUAGAAGUAUCAUAAAUACUUGAACCUCUUGUAACUUUGCAAAUUUAUAUAAACCUUCAUCUUCGAAAAUUGUCAUUUAAAAAAUAUAUCAACUAACCGUUUGCAGUUCUCAUUUACAAAUUACAAUAUCAGGAACACGAAAGACCAUCUAAAGUACUUAUUUAAAAAUUCACUUGAUCACUUGUAUUAUAGCGAUGAGAAACGGUCGUGAAAACGAUUGGUGUCGGGACUAUUGGGCAACGAGGUGUUUCAAAACGCAGUGAAAAUGAUCCGCCGUGAAAGAGGAACAGUCCCGUGGAUGCGCGUGCUUUCCAGGCUUGUUCUACGUUGGAAUUCGCGAAAUAUUCCCGCGGAUUACGGGUAGGUGUGCGCGCGAGGGGGGCGGAAAUAAAAGAGGCGAAGGAUCGUCGUAAAAGCGAGCUGGAAAAAUAAGGCUUGUAGAGUUCUCGCGAGGCACAAUCCUCCUCCUCGGCGUUUUAAAGCACGGCGAUUGUGUCAAGGUUGUUUUAGCGUUGCGUGGCGUUCUGUGGCGUGGCGCGCGAGAGCCUCUCAAAAUGGUUGCGCGGCCGACGUCCUGAAAAGGUUUCGAGCUAUGUCUCAAAAGAACCGUCUACACCAAAGAAAUGCUCCGUUACGACACUUUACCCGAUUGUUUUCUUUCUUCGACUUUCUAGACCUGGACGAUCGACAAUGAAUAACCAUGCGAAUAAUCGCAAUCACUUGCAUGGUAAUUGUAAUUUCUUGCUACUUUGAUAUUUAGAUCGUUUGAUCUUUUUUAUUGGUUUUCUUUUGUUUAUGAUUCCUUAUUGGUAGAUCGAAGAUUUUUUCUGCUUUUAUGGGAAAUUUAAAGAUUCACGUAUGUGUAGAGUACAUAUCUGUAACUUGGUACAAGUAGUGGCAAUGUCAGUAUUUAUAAGUUGAGAUAUUAGCGCUUAAAGGUACCUUAAAAAAUUCGUGUUCAAAUAGUUUGUGACGCCGUAAUUUCUGCUGUUUCAAGUUUUUUUCCGAUACAAAAAAGCAGAGUCGAAGCUUAUACUAUUUGUGUUUUUUAUGUCGACUUUGAACUUUUUACAGAAAGUUUAUUGGCAUUGACAUGUACGAAUAUAAAUAGCCAUUUCUGGAUAGAAUUUGAAGUUGUCUGUGUAUAUAAUUGUUUAGGAACUCAA